AGGGAGGACACGAAGAAGCAGAUCCCCCCGCGGUCCCAAACUUGUGAAGACGGCAGGUGGUGAACCUCUCUGCAUCUCCGUCGGAAAUGUCUUGGCUUCAUAAUUCCCUCUGGAGUGAUCGCGUCGCUGGGUUUGGAUUCUGGCCUGGCAGUUACAUUUGCUCGUCUCUUUGAAGCGCUCUUGCACACUUAACAAACUGCAGUGUAGCGUCGACACAACUUUUCUCUGCACUGGGAACCAAAAUGU